GUUCACAGUUCAUGUCCUGUUGAAGCCUAACUUGAAGGAUUUUGAGCAUAACCUUAGCAGCAUGUGAAAUGAAUGCAAUUGUCUGGAAGUUUGAACAUUCUUUGGCACUGCCCUGGGCCUUUGGGUACCGUAUAUUCAUUCCUGGGGUUUUACCGUUUUACCCGCCCCUCUGGGAGCCUGACCUCCACCCCUCCUGUCCUUCUCUCUCCUUCUCUUAAGAGGGGUAGCUCUUUGUUUGGUGGAGAUAAUGUUUCUCUUGGGCUGGGGGGUGUGGUUGGGGUGGGUGGCCACAUCACCGAGGUGAGCAGUGGGGUCUUGAUGUACAGCUGGGGGUCACUUUAGGACUCCUGGGCUGACACGCUCAGGGCAAGGAGCUGCCUGGGGUGAGUCACUUCCCCGAGACUAGGCCCCAACAGAUCACACGCUGUCUGACCCAGGUUCCACUGACAAACCAGCAGCUCCCCUGAGGGCUGAGCCGCCUGUGUGGGAACAGGCUUGCUCAGGCCCAAGGAAUCCUGUGCGUUCCAUCCCUACCUGGCCACAGAUGCUGGGCGUCACCAGCUCCUCCUUCUGGAGCCCCCUGGUUGUCUCUUGUCCAGUCGGGCUCUUUCUAAGGGUCUUGGAGCCUCUUUGCCCAGCACUGCCCUGGUGGGCCCCUUCCUGCAGUCCCAGCACAUCCCCUUCCUGCGGUCCACCAGACUGGCUCCUCCCUCCUCCAUCGAGGGAGCCCUGGAGCCCGCUUGUAUGCAGAUCCUGCUCAAAGAAUAAACGUGCCUGCUCCUCCCAUGAUACUUCUUCCGUGGUUGCAUGUGAGGCUCUGUAGAGGCAGGCGAGGCCACGGUAGGAACAGGGCAGCGGAGAGGCUGGGGAACAGGCGCUGACCAGGCGGGGGCCUUACUACCCUGCAGUGGUGAUGCUGGGAGGCGAGAGGGCGGCCUUCCCCGGACCCUUCUGAUCGGGGCCCAGACAGUGUUGGAUGGUACCCCAGGCUCACAGGGCCUGGAGCUUCUCCUGCGGCCCCUCGGGAAGCUCUGCCUCCCUCCCCCGCGGGCCCUGCCCCCGGCCUCCCUCCCUGCGGGCCCCGCCCCGGCCUCCCUCCUCUGAAGUCCAGACCUUUCCCUCCUGGUGCAGAGCGGGGCUCACUUCCCUGUCUCGGUAUUUGGCGGGUGGGUUUCUGUGACCCCACAGUUCCCAGUGGGAGGCUGGCCCAGCUUGGUUCCUCAGAGAUUCUUUGCUCUUUGGCUAGAAUGGGGGUGGGGCGCUGGGGGGAGGUAGGUGCCUGGGCAGGUGGGUGAGGAUGACUGGUGGGAGGCUGGGGCAGGGUGCUGUAGGGACACGGGGCUGGAGGCGGGAUGGUGGAAGGCAGGGUCCAGGGGGUGGCUAUGAGGAGUCCCAGUAUGAGAGUGACUAUGAGUGACUGUGAGUAACUGUGGCUGGGAGAGUGACCGGGGGCCAGAGGCAGGCUGUGCCCCUCGCUCCUGCCCGCGGGAAAGUUGGUUUUCAGAGGUGAAGGAAGCUGACGGAGCGCCUAGGUGGUGAGGGAAGCGAUGCUGGGUUCCCCUUUGGGGAUGGCUGGUUCAUCUGGGAUCUCUGUCUGGGGGCUGGGACGUCCUGGGGGAGCUGGGGAGCUGGGAUGUUUCUCAGUAACUGUUCAUCUAAGAGCCUCAGAUCAAAGCCGGGCUCUGCCAGGUUCACCUGCCUCCUUCGGGCUGAGCAGUGACCACCCUGCCACGUCUCUGGGCGCCCAGGCAGGGUGGACCCCCGUUCCAGUGCGGGUGUGGGGGCGCCCAGGUUGGUGGACCCCCGUUCCAGUGGGGGUGCUGGGGUGCCCAGGCAGGUGGACCCCCAUUGCAGUGGGGAUGUGGGGCACCCCGGUGAGUAG